GACGAACGCUGGCGGCGUGCCUAACACAUGCAAGUCGAGGGGUAGAAUUAGCUUGCUAAUUUGAGACCGGCGCACGGGUGCGUAACGCGUAUGCAAUCUACCUUGUACAGGGGGAUAGCCCAGAGAAAUUUUGGAUUAAUACUCCAUGGUAUAAUUGAAUCGCAUGGUUUGAUUAUUAAAGUUCCAACGGUACAAGAUGAGCAUGCGUCCCAUUAGCUAGUUGGUGUGGUAACGGCAUACCAAGGCGACGAUGGGUAGGGGUCCUGAGAGGGAGAUCCCCCACACUGGUACUGAGACACGGACCAGACUCCUACGGGAGGCAGCAGUGAGGAAUAUUGGUCAAUGGUCGGAAGACUGAACCAGCCAUGCCGCGUGCAGGAAGACGGUCCUAUGGAUUGUAAACUGCUUUUGUACGGGAAGAAACACUCCUUCGUGAAGGAGCUUGACGGUACCGUAAGAAUAAGGAUCGGCUAACUCCGUGCCAGCAGCCGCGGUAAUCUCGU
rnacentral:rRNA from 1 species